rnacentral:rRNA from 1 species
CUAAGAGCGAAUGGUGGAUGCCUUGACUGGUAAAGGCGAUGAAGGACGUACUAGACUGCGAUAAGCUACGGGGAGCUGUCAAGAAGCUUUGAUCCGUAGAUUUCCGAAUGGGGCAACCCAAUGUAUAGAGAUAUACAUUACCUAUAUAGGAGCGAACGAGGGGAAUUGAAACAUCUUAGUACCCUCAGGAAAAGAAAUCAAUAGAGAUUGCGUCAGUAGCGGCGAGCGAAAGCGCAAGAGGGCAAACCCAGUGCUUGCACUGGGGGUUGUAGGACUGCAAUGUGCAAGAGGUGAGUUUAGCAGAACAUUCUGGAAAGUAUAGCCAUAGAGGGUGAUAGUCCCGUAUGCGAAAAACAAACCUUAGCUAGCAGUAUCCUGAGUAGGGCGGGACACGAGAAAUCCUGUCUGAAGCUGGGUCGACCACGAUCCAACCCUAAAUACUAAUACCAGAUCGAUAGUGCACAAGUACCGUGAGGGAAAGGUGAAAAGAACUGAGGUGAUCAGAGUGAAAUAGAACCUGAAACCAUUUGCUUACAAUCAUUCAGAGCACUAUGUAGCAAUACAGUGUGAUGGACUGCCUUUUGCAUAAUGAGCCUGCGAGUUGUGGUGUCUGGCAAGGUUAAGCAAACGCGAAGCCGUAGCGAAAGCGAGUCUGAAUAGGGCGCUUAGUCAGAUGCUGCAGACCCGAAACGAAGUGAUCUAUCCAUGAGCAAGUUGAAGCUAGUGUAAGAACUAGUGGAGGACUGAACCCAUAGGCGUUGAAAAGCCCCGGGAUGACUUGUGGAUAGGGGUGAAAGGCCAAUCAAACUUCGUGAUAGCUGGUUCUCUCCGAAAUAUAUUUAGGUAUAGCGUUGUGUCGUAAUAUAAGGGGGUAGAGCACUGAAUGGGCUAGGGCAUACACCAAUGUACCAAACCCUAUCAAACUCCGAAUACCUUAUAUGUAAUCACAGCAGUCAGGCGGCGAGUGAUAAAAUCCGUCGUCAAGAGGGAAACAACCCAGACUACCAGCUAAGGUCCCUAAAUCUUACUUAAGUGGAAAACGAUGUGAAGUUACUUAAACAACCAGGAGGUUGGCUUAGAAGCAGCCAUCCUUUAAAGAAAGCGUAAUAGCUCACUGGUCUAGUGAUUUUGCGCGGAAAAUAUAACGGGGCUAAAGUAAGUACCGAAGCUGUAGACUUGACUUUGUCAAGUGGUAGGAGAGCGUUCUAUUUGCGUCGAAGGUAUACCGGUAAGGAGUGCUGGAGCGAAUAGAAGUGAGCAUGCAGGCAUGAGUAGCGAUAAUUAAUGUGAGAAUCAUUAACGCCGUAAACCCAAGGUUUCCUACGCGAUGCUCGUCAUCGUAGGGUUAGUCGGGUCCUAAGUCGAGUCCGAAAGGGGUAGACGAUGGCAAAUUGGUUAAUAUUCCAAUACCAACAUUAGUGUGCGAUGGAAGGACGCUUAGGGCUAAGGGGGCUAGCGGAUGGAAGUGCUAGUCUAAGGUCGUAGGUGCUUAUACAGGCAAAUCCGUAUAAGAAUACACCGAGAACUGAAAGGCUUUUUGAAGUCUUCGGAUGGAUAGAAGAACCCCUGAUGCCGUCGAGCCAAGAAAAGUUUCUAAGUUUAGCUAAUGUUGCCCGUACCGUAAACCGACACAGGUGGGUGGGAUGAGUAUUCUAAGGCGCGUGGAAGAACUCUCUUUAAGGAACUCUGCAAAAUAGCACCGUAUCUUCGGUAUAAGGUGUGGUUCGCUUCGUAUUAGGAUUUACUCCGAAAGCGAAGAAACUUACAACAAAGAGUCCCUCCCGACUGUUUACCAAAAACACAGCACUCUGCUAACUCGUAAGAGGAUGUAUAGGGUGUGACGCCUGCCCGGUGCUCGAAGGUUAAUUGAUGGGGUUAGCAUUAGUGAAGCUCUUGAUCGAAGCCCGAGUAAACGGCGGCCGUAACUAUAACGGUCCUAAGGUAGCGAAAUUCCUUGUCGGUUAAAUACCGACCUGCAUGAAUGGCGUAACGAGAUGGGAGCUGUCUCAAAGAGGGAUCCAGUGAAAUUGUAGUGGAGGUGAAAAUUCCUCCUACCCGCGGCAAGACGGAAAGACCCCGUGGACCUUUACUACAGCUUGACACUGCUAUUUGGAUAAGAAUGUGCAGGAUAGGUGGGAGGCUUUGAGUAUAUGACGCCAGUUGUAUAUGAGCCAUUGUUGAGAUACCACUCUUUCUUAUUUGGGUAGCUAACCAGCUUGAGUUAUCCUCAAGUGGGACAAUGUCUGGUGGGUAGUUUGACUGGGGCGGUCGCCUCCCAAAUAAUAACGGAGGCUUACAAAGGUUGGCUCAGAACGGUUGGAAAUCGUUCGUAGAGUAUAAAGGUAUAAGCCAGCUUAACUGCAAGACAUACAAGUCAAGCAGAGACGAAAGUCGGUCUUAGUGAUCCGGUGGUUCUGUGUGGAAGGGCCAUCGCUCAAAGGAUAAAAGGUACCCCGGGGAUAACAGGCUGAUCUCCCCCAAGAGCUCACAUCGACGGGGAGGUUUGGCACCUCGAUGUCGGCUCAUCGCAUCCUGGGGCUGGAGCAGGUCCCAAGGGUAUGGCUGUUCGCCAUUUAAAGCGGUACGCGAGCUGGGUUCAGAACGUCGUGAGACAGUUCGGUCCCUAUCUGCCGUGGGCGUAAGAAGAUUGAAGAGAUUUGACCCUAGUACGAGAGGACCGGGUUGAACAAACCACUGGUGUAGCUGUUGUUCUGCCAAGAGCAUCGCAGCGUAGCUAAGUUUGGAAAGGAUAAACGCUGAAAGCAUCUAAGCGUGAAGCCAACUCUAAGAUGAAUCUUCUCUAAGCUCUCUAGAAGACUACUAGUUUGAUAGGCUGGGUGUGUAAUGGAUGAAAGUCCUUUAGCUGACCAGUACUAAUAGAGCGUUUGGCUUAUCUUUA